AUUGAACGCUGGCGGCAGGCCUAACACAUGCAAGUCGAGCGGAUGAAGGGAGCUUGCUCCUGGAUUCAGCGGCGGACGGGUGAGUAAUGCCUAGGAAUCUGCCUGGUAGUGGGGGAUAACGUCCGGAAACGGGCGCUAAUACCGCAUACGUCCUGAGGGAGAAAGUGGGGGAUCUUCGGACCUCACGCUAUCAGAUGAGCCUAGGUCGGAUUAGCUAGUUGGUGGGGUAAAGGCCUACCACGGCGACGAUCCGUAACUGGUCUGAGAGGAUGAUCAGUCACACUGGAACUGAGACACGGUCCAGACUCCUACGGGAGGCAGCAGUGGGGAAUAUUGGACAAUGGGCGAAAGCCUGAUCCAGCCAUGCCGCGUGUGUGAAGAAGGUCUUCGGAUUGUAAAGCACUUUAAGUUGGGAGGAAGAGCAGUAAGUUAAUACCUUGCUGUUUUGACGUUACCAACAGAAUAAGCACCGGCUAACUUCGUG
rnacentral:rRNA from 1 species